AAGUCGUAACAAGGUUUCCGUAGGUGAACCUGCGGAAGGAUCAUUACCGUGGGGCUUCGGCCCCAUUGAGAUAGCACCCUUUGUUUAUGAGUACCCUUGUUUCCUCGGCGGGCUUGCUCGCCGGAUGGACAAUACUAUAACCUUUUUAAUAUUCAAUCAGCGUCUGAAAAACUUGAAUAAUUACAA
rnacentral:misc_RNA from 1 species